rnacentral:misc_RNA from 1 species
UGCUGUUCUUUGGUCUACAUCAGGA